CCAGUAUAUGACAAGCCAUUUCAUUAUGAUUAUGAAUCCCUGAGGAUCGGUGGUAUGAUCUUUGCUGUGAUCCUCUUCUUGAUGGGGAUCUUCCUCAUUGUCAGUCGGAAAUGCCGCUGCAAAGGGAACAAGUCCAAGCCAGUGGGUCUCGACCCAGAGGCAGCCAGAGGUGCAAAAUAAAGUUAACCGAGGGAACUGAGAAAAAGGUGACACUGCCUCUGCUUUUGGAUUCAUUGUGAUGUUCUAUAGCCUGCAUAAAUGUUUACAACUUUGUAUCUCUGGUGUUUUUAAUGGAAAGCAUGGCUUCUUAAGGAGAAAUCUUAAUCAGAACUUUGACCAUUCAGAAGAAGAGGAUUUAGUUCUUCUAGUGUUUACAAUUUUUAAAUCGUCUUUGUUUCUUAAAUAUGUGAGUAUGAGUGUUCCUUUUAAAAAAAAAGUUUUAAAAACGUUUAAAUAAAACCAUUGAUUCUCAGCUAGAACUACUUAUAAUGUUUAACUACCUUUGAUAGUCCUCCCCCUCACCUUUUGUAAUGUUUUUUAUUUUUAUUUUGUCUCCCAGUGAAGUGCUCAGUAUAGCUAAAAGCAAAAAGUAGGCAUUUUAUAUAUUUUGUAAAUUGUCCAUUCAGUUUUGUCAUAUUGCAGAAGUAACAAAUCUAACUGUAGGCCUACACUGUUGUUGAAAAAUAAAAUGAUUUUCACUGAAA